GUGGGGAAUUUUGGACAAUGGGCGCAAGCCUGAUCCAGCAGUGCCGCGUGCAGGAAGAAGGCCUUCGGGUUGUAAACUGCUUUUGUACGGAACGAAACGGUCCUGGCUAAUAUCCGGGGCUAAUGACGGCACCGUAAGAAUAAGCACCGGCUAACUACGUGCCAGCAGCCGCGGUAAUACGUACGGUGCGAGCGUUAAUCGGAAUUACUGGUCGUAAAGCGUGCGCCGGCGGUUUUGUAAGAUCGAUGUGAAAUCCCCGGGCUCAACCUAGGAAGUGGAUUAGUGAAUGCAAGGCUGGAGUGCGGCAGAGGGGGAUGGAAUUCCGCGUGUAGCAGUGAAAUGCGUAGAUAUGAGGAGGAACACCGAUGGCGAAGGCAAUCCCCUGGGCCUGCACUGACGCUCAUGCACGAAAGCGUGGGGAGCAAACAGGAUUAGAAACCCCGGUAGUCC
rnacentral:rRNA from 1 species